rfam:Candidatus Altiarchaeales archaeon WOR_SM1_86-2 WORSMTZ_10825, whole genome shotgun sequence.
GGUAGUGGCUUUUGAGUUUCCUGGGGCAACCCGGAGGAAGUUCCAUCCACUCACAAACCACGCGUAAGCCGGUGCGAAAGCACCGAGCGAUGUCGCAGAGACGAGAAACUGCUUAUUAUGAUGAUACUUCGGUUGAAAUUGUGGCUGACAUUUCAUGUCAGACACAUACAAAACCCUUUGGGUUUUGAAUAUAUAAGCAGUGGUGUGAAACGAACAUCGCUGUGGGAGUGCAACGCUUUGCGGCUCAGAUGAAUGCUCAGCAGCCGACUGAUCUUUUCCAGGAUCGCUAAACGGCUGACAGAAGAUGGACUACUGCCACUGCC